rnacentral:rRNA from 1 species
GACGAACGCUGGCGGCGUGCUUAACACAUGCAAGUCGAACGAAGAGCGAUGGAAGCUUGCUUCUAUCAAUCUUAGUGGCGCACGGGUGAGUAACGCGUAAUCAACCUGCCCUUCAGAGGGGGACAACAGUUGGAAACGACCGCUAAUACCGCAUACGAUCUAAUCUCGGCAUCGAGGAUAGAUGAAAGGUGGCCUCUACAUGUAAGCUAUCACUGAAGGAGGGGAUUGCGUCUGAUUAGCUAGUUGGAGGGGUAACGGCCCACCAAGGCGAUGAUCAGUAGCCGGUCUGAGAGGAUGAACGGCCACAUUGGGACUGAGACACGGCCCAGACUCCUACGGGAGGCAGCAGUGGGGAAUCUUCCGCAAUGGACGAAAGUCUGACGGAGCAACGCCGCGUGAGCGAUGACGGCCUUCGGGUUGUAAAGCUCUGUUAAUCGGGACGAAAGGCCUUCUUGCGAAUAGUGAGAAGGAUUGACGGUACCGGAAGAGAAAGCCACGGCUAACUACGUG